rnacentral:lncRNA from 1 species
UUGUACCCUUCAGAAAUCUCUUCUUCUCUAUUCGCAGUACUGUAUUGAUGAAAGAACUUAAUUAGUAGUCAUCAUUGUACCAUCACCUAGGCAUAGAGCAGAAACAUCAAGUAUCAAAUUGUUCAGACAAAGAGUUAGUUCUUCAUUUAGAAUUUUUUUGUACAACUGCUCAUCAUAUUUCUAUUUGGUACAUUUCAUUAGCGACGUUUAAUGGUUCUGACUUCUGAGUUGUUUGUUAAUAGACUAAGCACCAAUCUUUAUCACGCAAUGCAAUAACAGCCCCUAAGAUACUCCAUUUUUAUGCGCACUAUCUAACAUCGCCAACUCUCGCCACCGCACCUCAGCCCAAGAUACCUCCAAAAAACAAAGAAGCCAUUGACGUAGACAGAACAACACCAACCAAUACCAGUUGUACUACACAAAUAAACUCAAAAUUCAGUCACUACGUAUAUUAUACAGCAGAUUAAGGAAUAACAUGUCAGAGGCAUUUAGGCUUGGGAUAAAAUAGAAUUAAUUGUCAGAUAAAAAGAAGUAACUUGUAAAUUUUUAAGAUAAUUCAUGGUUCUAUCAUAUGAAAGAAUUUUUUUUCCAGUUCCGACGGGGAAAAGUGGCUUCCACCUAGAAAGCAAGUAGUUGCUUACUGUGUUUCACUGUUCACAAGCAGCCAAGAAAUAUUGCAGAAGUGAAAUCGACUUACCCUAACCAAGACUUGCGCAAAUUCUGCGAAAUCAUUUGUAAAGUUGUUGAAAUCAUCAUUCUCGCUAACUGUAUAAACCACUGAAAAAGGAUUUGAAUUUGAGAUGUGAGCACAUACAGUCAUAUAUGGAGUCACAAUUUCAAAUUAGGGCAUUUGGGUCGAUAACACAUGGGUCAUAAUUUGUGAUUUGAGCGGAGAGAAAAUGGAGUGGGGGAAAUUUCUGGAGAGAUA